rnacentral:pre_miRNA from 1 species
AGGAGGAACAGCCCCAGAGGCGGGGCAGCUCUGGAACCUGGAUUCAGCUCCGGCAGGAACUCCGUCUGCAGGGCCUGGAGGCUCCGGGGCGGG